GGCGAGCGAAGCGGGAAGAGCUCAAAUUUAUAAUCUGGCACCUUCGGUGUCCGAGUUGUAAUCUCUAGAAAUGUUUUCCGCGUUGGACCGCACACAAGUCUGUUGGAAUACAGCGGCAUAGUGGUGAGACCCCCGUAUAUGGUGCGGACGCCCAGCGCUUUGUGAUACAUUUUCGAAGAGUCGAGUUGUUUGGGAAUGCAGCUCAAAUUGGGUGGUAAAUUCCAUCUAAAGCUAAAUAUUGGCGAGAGACCGAUAGCGAACAAGUACCGUGAGGGAAAGAUGAAAAGCACUUUGGAAAGAGAGUUAACAGUACGUGAAAUUGUUGGAAGGGAAACGCUUGAAGUCAGACUUGCUUGCCGAGCAAUCGGUUUGCAGGCCAGCAUCAGUUUUCCGGGAUGGAUAAUGGUAGAGAGAAGGUAGCAGUUUCGGCUGUGUUAUAGCUCUCUGCUGGAUACAUCUUGGGGGACUGAGGAACGCAGUGUGCCUUUGGCGGGGGUUUCGACCUCUUCACGCUUAGGAUGCUGGUGGAAUGGCUUUAAACGACC
rnacentral:rRNA from 1 species